ensembl:lncRNA
CAACAAGCUCCCUCUCAAACUGGAUCCGCCUCUCCUCAAGCAAAAAUGGAUAGUGCAUCUACAAAAGAGCCACUAGGCAAAAACAUCCUGACUUUGUUUGGAGGUUCCAGCAUUCAACAGACUUCACCACCAUCUGGAACCUCAAGUCAAACAACAGGAUCUGCUCCUCCCAAAGAGAGUCAAGGUCUGAAUUUAUUUUCUGUGUUCAGUGGCACUAGUACACAGCAGUCUUCAACACAACCUGAUUCUUGUAAUCAAAAACAAACACCAGGCACUGUCCCUCCAAAGGAAACAUCAGCCAUGGGUUUACUCUCCAUGAUAAGUGGUUCUGGCACUCAGCAGACUUCACCUGGAUCUAGAACUGAUCCACCAAAAGAUCCACCAGUAACAGGAUUACUAUCUAUGUUCAGUAGCCCUAAUCAACAUCAGACAUCACAGCCACGCUCUACCACACAGCCUGGACCCCAAGGGAAUGGACAACAAAAAGAGCCCCUGGGUAAAAGUUUAUUUUCUAUGUUUGGUGGUUCAGGGCAACAACCUUCACAGCAGACAGGAUCAAUUUUUGGUGGUAUAUUAGGUGGAUCUUCAAGCUCUACUGAGAGUCCAGCGAAAGGUUUAUUCUCUAUGUUUGGAGCACAAAGCCCACAACCACCAACUACCAGAGUUCCAGGCACUGUCUCUACUAAUGAGCAAACAGUUAAACAUACUUAUUUUUUGGAUGGGUCUAACUCCCAACAAACUCCACCACAAUCUGUCUCUUCUUCUACAAAAGAAGCAACCCUUGCAAAGGAACCACCUAAAGACAGUCCAGCAAAGGGUUUAGUUUUGGACUCUGGAAUAGCCAUUCACCCAGCAGCAUUACAGGAAGGCUUGACUCCGGAGUCUGUUGUCCCAUCAAAUGAGCCAUCAGUAAAUAAAAUACCCUCCUUGUCUAGUGCACCUAGCUCUCAGGAAUCCCCACAACAACCAGAUUCAAUGUCACCUUCUAUUUCCCUUGAUAGUAAAGGGUCAAAGGAGUCACAAGGUAAAGAUUUGAUUACUGUACAAAUUCCACAGCCAGGUUCUUCUCAACCCUCCUCACUUCUAAGUGGAUUGCUAUCAAAUGAAACCCCUGGUAAAGGUCUUUUGGCAAACCUUGCUGGGGCUAUAAUUCAGCCAAGUGAGAUACCAGUUACACCAAGCUGUGAUCCAACUGUAUCAGCACCAAAAGCCCCACACGAAGUAUUGACAACUGUUGAUGGUAGAUUGGCAUCUUCUGAAUCUAGCAAGAUACCGGCACACCAGGAGGAUUCUUCUGCUCAGGGUGUAGUACCACCAAAAGAGGGAGCGACCUCAGGCUUGUUGUCAAUGUUUUCUGGGUCAGGUUCUCAAAAUGCUCCUUCUCAAACUGGGUCUAUGCUAGGUGGGAUUUUCCCGGGUGCCUCAGGAUCAAAGGAAAUUCCUGGCAAGAAUCUGUUUUCUAUGUUUUCUGGGCCCAGUGCACAGCCCAAUGCAGGUAACACUGGGUCUAAGCUUGAGAGUAACAGUCCAGGGUCUUCUACCUUCAAUGAGUUUCCAGGAAAAGGUUUAUUUUCUGUGUUUGGUGGAUCAAGUCCACAACAGGCCACUCCUCAGUCUUCUUCACUAUUAGGAGGUCUUCUGUCUGGAGUUGCUUCUAAAGAUGCUCCUGGAAAAAGUCUUCUUUCCAUGUUCGGUGGGCCUAAUUCAACACCUUCACCUAGUAAAACGGGACCAAAAUCCGAACCAUCUGAAACUGAGGGGCUGUUGAAGAUUGCAUCAUUAUUCUCUCGAGGGGAUGCCACUGAGGACAAUAAAUCAAAGACGGUGGGCUUCAUGGAGGAAAAGAAAUCAGGACCACAGAAUGAUGAUUACAAGCAUUCUAUUCUCUUGGGCAAUCAACAAAAAACAGCAGCCCCCAUGGCUCCAGUC